UCCCGGGUCGUCCAGCGGUAGGACAGGGGACUUUGAAUCCUCAAACCUAGGUUCGAAUCCUAGCCCGGGAACCA
rnacentral:tRNA from 1 species